GGAGGGAUGGCCGAGUGGUUUAAGGCGGCGGUCUUGAAAACCGUUGGUCGCAAGACCCGUGGGUUCGAAUCCUACUCCCUCCG
rnacentral:tRNA from 2 species